rnacentral:rRNA from 1 species
GAUCAUGGCUCAGGAUGAACGCUAGCUACAGGCUUAACACAUGCAAGUCGAGGGGCAGCAUGGCCUUAGCUUGCUAAGGCCGAUGGCGACCGGCGCACGGGUGAGUAACACGUAUCCAACCUGCCGUCUACUCUUGGGCAGCCUUCUGAAAGGAAGAUUAAUACAAGAUGGCAUCAUGAGUCCGCAUGUUCACAUGAUUAAAGGUAUUCCGGUAGACGAUGGGGG